rnacentral:rRNA from 1 species
CCUACGGGAGGUAGCAGUGGGGAAUAUUGCACAAUGGGGGAAACUCUGAUGCAGCGACGCCGCGUGAGUGAAGACGUAUUUAGGUAUGUAAAGCUCUAUCAGCAGGGAAGUAAAUGACGGUACCUGAUUAAGAAGCUACGGCUAACUACGUGACAGCAGCCGCGGUAAUACGUAGGGGGCAAGCGUUAUCCGGAUUUACUGGGUGUAAAGGGAGCGUAGGCGGAAGGACAAGUCUGGAGUGAAAUGCCGCGGCUUAACCCUGGAACUGCAGUGGAAACUGGGAAACUAGAGUGCAGGAGAGGUAAGUGGAAUUCCUGGUGUAGCGGUGAAAUGCGUAGAUAUUAGGAAGAACACCAGUGGCGAAGGCAGUUUACUGGACUGUAACUGACGUUGAGGCUCGAAAGCGUGGGGAGCAAACAGGAUUAGAUACCCGUGUAGUC